rnacentral:rRNA from 2 species
UCGAGCGAACACAGAAGGAGCUUGCUCCUUUGACGUUAGCGGCGGACGGGUGAGUAACACGUGGGCAACCUACCUUAUAGUUUGGGAUAACUCCGGGAAACCGGGGCUAAUACCGAAUAAUCUGUUUCACCUCAUGGUGAAACACUGAAAGACGGUUUCGGCUGUCGCUAUAGGAUGGGCCCGCGGCGCAUUAGCUAGUUGGUGAGGUAACGGCUCACCAAGGCGACGAUGCGUAGCCGACCUGAGAGGGUGAUCGGCCACACUGGGACUGAGACACGGCCCAGACUCCUACGGGAGGCAGCAGUAGGGAAUCUUCCACAAUGGGCGAAAGCCUGAUGGAGCAACGCCGCGUGAGUGAAGAAGGAUUUCGGUUCGUAAAACUCUGUUGUAAGGGAAGAACAAGUACAGUAGUAACUGGCUGUACCUUGACGGUACCUUAUUAGAAAGCCACGGCUAACUACGUGCCAGCAGCCGCGGUAAUACGUAGGUGGCAAGCGUUGUCCGGAAUUAUUGGGCGUAAAGCGCGCGCAGGUGGUUUCUUAAGUCUGAUGUGAAAGCCCACGGCUCAACCG